AUACGACCGCAAAAAAAUUUUGUGGUCGUAUAUUGGUAUGACGUUGGCGUCGUCGUCGUCGUCCGAAGACACAUUGGUUUUCGCACUCUAACUUUAGUUUAAGUGAAUGGAUCUCUAUGAAAUUUUACCAUAGGGUUCAAUACCACAGAAGGAAGGUGGGGAUUGAUUUUGGGGGUUAUGGUACCAACAGUUAAGGAAUUAGGGGCCAAAAAAGGGGCCAAAAAUAAGCAUUUUUGUAACUUCCAGACAUAACUUGUGUGUUAGUGUAUGGAUGUCUCUGACAUUGUACCACAAGGUUCCAUUUCACAAAGGGAAUGCUGGGAUUGAUUUUGGGGGUAAUUGCCUCCAAAUUUUAGGAAUUAGGGGCCAAAAAGGGGCAAAAAACAAGCAUUUUUCUAGUUUCAUGACAAUAACUUGUGUGUAAGUGUAUGGAUCUCUCUGACAUUGUACCACAAGGUUCCAUAUCACAAAGGGAAUGCUGGGAUUGAUUUUGGGGGUAAUUGCCUCCAAAUUUUAGGAAUUAGGGGCCAAAAAGGGGCAAAAAACAAGCAUUUUUCUAGUUUCAUGACAAUAACUUGUGUGUAAGUGUAUGGAUCUCUCUGACAUUGUACCACAAGGUUCCAUAUCACAAAGGGAAUGCUGGGAUUGAUUUUGGGGGUAAUUGCCUCCAAAUUUUAGGAAUUAGGGGCCAAAAAGGGGCAAAAAACAAGCAUUUUUCUAGUUUCAUGACAAUAACUUGUGUGUAAGUGUAUGGAUCUCUCUGACAUUGUACCACAAGGUUCCAUAUCACAAAGGGAAUGCUGGAAUUGAUUUUGGGGGUAAUUGCCUCCAAAUUUUAGGAAUUAGGGGCCAAAAAGGGGCAAAAAACGCAUUUUUCUAGUUUCAUGACAAUAACUUGUGUGUAAGUGUAUGGAUCUCUCUGACAUUGUACCACAAGGUUCCAUAUCACAAAGGGAAUGCUGGGAUUGAUUUUGGGGGUAAUUGCCUCCAAAUUUUAGGAAUUAGGGGCCAAAAAGGGGCACAAACAAGCAUUUUUCUAGUUUCAUGACAAUAACUUGUGUGUAAGUGUAUGGGUCUUUAUGAAAUUGUACUACAAGGUUCCAUAUCACAAAGGGAAAGCUGGAAUUGAUUUUGGGGGUAAUUGCCCACAACGUUUAGGAAAAAGGGGCCAAAAAUAAGCAUUUUUCUUAAGUUUCCAGACAAUAACUUGUGUUCAAGUGUAUGGAUCUCUCUGAAAUUGUACUGCAAGGUACCAUACCACAAAGGGAAGGCUGGGAUUGAUUUUGGGGGUUAUUCCCUGGAAAUUUGAGGAAUUAGGGGCCAUAAAGGGGCAAAAAAAACAAGCAUUUUUCUAGUUUCAGGACAAUAACUUGUGUGUAAGUGUAUGGAUCUUUAUGAAAUUGUACUGCAAGGUUCCAUAUCACAAAGGGGAAGCUGGAAUUGAGUUUGGGGGUAAUUGCCUGAAACAUUUAGGAAUAAGGGGCCAAAAAUAAGCAUUUUUCUAGUUUCCAGACAAUAACUUGUGUUCAAGUGUAUGGAUCUCUCUGAAAUUGUACCACAAUGUACCAUAUCACACAGGGAAUGCUGGGAUUGAUUUUGGGGGUAAUUGCCUCAAAAAUUUAGGAAUUAGGGGCCAAAAAAGGGCAAAAAACAAGCAUUUUUCUAGUUUCAUGACAAUAACUUGUGUGUUAGUGUUUGGAUAUUUCUGAAAUUGUACUACAAGGUUCCAUAUCACAAAGGGAAAGCUGGAAUUGAGUUUGGGGGUAAUUGCCCGAAACGUUUAGGAAUUGGGGGCCAAAAAGGGGCCAAAAAACACAUUUUUCUAGUUUCCAGACAAUAACUUGUGUUCAAGUAUAUGGAUCUCUCUGAAAUUGUACUGCAAGGUACCAUACCACAAAGGGAAGGCUGGGAUUGAGUUUGGGGGUGAUGAAUCAUAAGGGGGUUCAAAAAAUUUGGGGGGGGGGGGAUUUUUUUUUUUUUUUUCCUUUUUUUUCUUUUUUUCCUUUUUUUUUCUUUUAA